AUUGAACGCUGGCGGCAUGCUUUACACAUGCAAGUCGAACGGCAGCACGGGAGCUUGCUCCUGGUGGCGAGUGGCGAACGGGUGAGUAAUAUAUCGGAACGUACCCUAGAGUGGGGGAUAACGCAGCGAAAGUUGCGCUAAUACCGCAUACGAUCUACGGAUGAAAGUGGGGGAUCGCAAGACCUCAUGCUCAUGGAGCGGCCGAUAUCUGAUUAGCUAGUUGGUGGGGUAAAGGCCUACCAAGGCAUCGAUCAGUAGCUGGUCUGAGAGGACGACCAGCCACACUGGAACUGAGACACGGUCCAGACUCCUACGGGAGGCAGCAGUGGGGAAUUUUGGACAAUGGGGGCAACCCUGAUCCAGCAAUGCCGCGUGAGUGAAGAAGGCCUUCGGGUUGUAAAGCUCUUUUGUCAGGGAAGAAACGGUGAGGGCUAAUAUCCUUUGCUAAUGACGGUACCUGAAGAAUAAGCACCGGCUAACUACGUG
rnacentral:rRNA from 1 species